UACUCUAACGCAAGCCAGCAGAGAGAAAAUAAUGCAAGAUAUAGCUGUAUUGAGGAACAAAAUUAAAAUGAAAGAUCAAGGUACUGGCAGAUUGAAAAAGUAUUUGGAUAAACUAGAUACCGAGGAAAGAAACGUUCCGAAUGUUCCUGGAAAAUGUUUAAUUUCGUGAUAUCUAUAGCAGAUUUAUGAAACUUUUCAAACUUUGACAUUUGUGUGCUAUAAAAUAGAACAUUGAAAUUUUGAAAUACAAUAAAAACAUUUACAAAUACUCUUCUAAAAAAAA